UUACCUGAGGCCUUAAACCUGGAGCAAAUCAGCAGAGGAAUGUGCACUGCUCAAUGAGGGAAGGGGUGGGCAAUAUUUGUCCUUACCCCCUCUCUCUUUCUCCCUCUUUCUCUCACUCUGCACUGUGAGAGGAGCAGAAGGAGGUUAUUGGGAGGUUCGGUGUAAAGAGGAGUUCCUCUUUUGCCUCCCUUCAGUAAAGCACCUUACCGAAACCAUUGCACUUUAAUGUUUUCAUAUUUGAAAUAGUUUUGUUUUCUUUCUUUUUUACAAUGCAAAAAUGUGUGAAUAUAUUGUUGCAUAUAUUAUGUGUAGAAUAUUUGUAUGAAUAUACAUACGAGAAGUAGGAAUGGUGCGGUUUCUGCCGUAUCAGAUGUGGAGGUUGAGAAACGUUGUUGGGGAGAUGCAAGUUGAGCAUCUCUCCUAAAAGACAAACACUGUUGUAUUUUUAUGUUCAUGGUAAAGCUAUAAAAAAAUAUGAAUUUGAAAACUUGAAGAUUUGCACUUGUUUAACAAAAAAAAAGACAAAAAAAUGUUAGGAUAGGUUGAGGUUUUUUGUGAGCAUGUGUGCAAGCAUAAGAGAGAUGAAGUCUGCACAAAUUUUAUUGCUUUCCGACGUGUAUAAAACAAAUGCCAUGCUUUUAUUUUGUUCAACACAAUUUUGUACUUCAUUGAGCGUGUGUGUGCAUGAACGGACAGAAGUAGUUUGUGUUUGUGCUCUUUUUGUACAUAGGCUCUUAAAGAGACCGAUAGGACAGUCAAGCAUUGCGUUUUUACCCUCCAGUGUUUCAAAGCAUGACUGAGGUGCUGUUUGGCUCUGUUCUAAGAGGGCAAUCGGGGUCUCUGGGUUUGUGUUUGAUGUAUAAAUGUAGCUCUGCUGUUGUCUGUACACAAACUACUUACAUUACAACUCUUCCCCUUUCAUUCAUUUUCAGUCCACGAUGUGAAAUGUUGCCUUCUGUCCAGAAAGUGUGUGUGUGGUUUCUGUUGGCUGGUGUUUUGAGACAGUCACAAGGGCACUGUGAUUCUGUAUAUCGGUUGUGUUACUUUCUUUUUGUUGCUGUUGAAAAAGGAUGA
rnacentral:lncRNA from 1 species